rnacentral:rRNA from 1 species
UAAUGGAAGCUUGCUUCCACUGAGAAGAUAGUGGCGAACGGGUGAGUAACACGUGGGUAACCUGCCCAUAAGAGGGGGAGUAACAUCCGGAAACGGGUGCUAAUACCGCAUAGUUUUCUUGAUCGCAUGAUCGGGAAAGGAAAGACGGCCUUUGUGCUGUCGCUUAUGGAAGGACCCGCGGCGUAUUAGUUAGUUGGUGAGGUAACGGCUCACCAAGACGAUGAUACGUAGCCGACCUGAGAGGUGAUCGGCCACAUGGGACUGAGACACGGCCCAAACUCCUACGGGAGGCAGCAGUAGGGAAUCUUCCGCAAUGGACGAAAGUCUGACGGAGCAACGCCGCGUGAGUGAAGAAAGGUUUUCGGAUCGUAAAACUCUGUUGUCAGAGAAGAACAAGUUGGAGAGUAACUGCUCCAGCCUUGACGGUAUCUGACCAGAAAGCCACGGCUAACUACGUGCCAGCCGCAGC